rnacentral:rRNA from 1 species
UGGGGAAUUUUGGACAAUGGGCGAAAGCCUGAUCCAGCAAUGCCGCGUGUGUGAAGAAGGCCUUCGGGUUGUAAAGCACUUCUGUACGGAAAGAAAUCCUCUGGGUUAAUACCUCGGGGGGAUGACGGUACCGGAACAAUAAGCACCGGCUAACUACGUGCCAGCAGCCGCGGUAAUACGUAGGGUGCAAGCGUUAAUCGGAAUUACUGGGCGUAAAGCGUGCGCAGGCGGUUUUGUAAGACGGAUGUGAAAUCCCCGGGCUUAACCUGGGAACUGCAUUCAUGACUGCAAGGCUAGAGUAUGGCAGAGGGGGGUAGAAUUCCACGUGUAGCAGUGAAAUGCGUAGAGAUGUGGAGGAAUACCGAUGGCGAAGGCAGCCCCCUGGGCCAAUACUGACGCUCAUGCACGAAAGCGUGGGGAGCAAACA